rnacentral:ncRNA from 2 species
UAACCAAGGAAACGAACAUCUCAUAUAUCCUUAACAAUCUGGUUGAGGGUCUCUAGUAGGAGCCUAACAAUCCUAGCUAUGAGUAUGGGCGCGCGUGCU